ensembl:lncRNA
GAAGAGACCACUCCAAGUUAAGAGACCACUCUAAAUGAAGAGACCACUCCAAAUGAAGAGACCACUCCAAAUGAAGAGACCACUCCAAAUGAAGAGACCACUCCAAGUUAAGAGACCACUCCAAAUGAAGAGACCACUCUAAAUGAAGAGACCACUCCAAUUAAGAGACCACUCUUAAUGAAGAGACCACUCCAAAUGAAGAGACCACUCUAAAUGAAGAGACCACUCCAAGUUAAGAGACCACUCCAAGUUAAGAGACCACUCCAAGUUAAGAGACCACUCCAAGUUAAGAGACCACUCCAAGUUAAGAGACCACUCCAAGUUAAGAGACCACUCCAAGUUAAGAGACCACUCCAAGUUAAGAGACCACUCUUAAUGUUUCCCAGAGCUGUAUUAAUGUAGCCUACUGAUACACUAAUGAUAGUGUGAUAAUACAGUCUUUUCUUUGUAAAGGUGGAGGAAGGAAGCAGCAGCAGCACUAGAGCUUCAGGUGCUCUUGCAGAACUGGAGGAGGUGGACAGUUCAGAGUCAGACUCAGAGCAGGAACCUUCAGCAACAACUUAAGAGCACAAACCUAAACAUGUAGGCUAUGAUUUUAGAUUAAUAUGUGCUUUAUUUAUGAGAUUAUCAGUAGGACUGUAAUCGGGGGCCAUACCUUGUACAUUUGUAUGUGCUAUGAUUGGUGUAUUCCUAGAGAGUUUAUGAGGGGGCACCCAUAGCCAUAGCAUACCUUGAAAACUCAGUGUUCAGAUAGGCUACUUGUUGGUCAGUCCCAAAUGUUUGCAUUUUGUCAUGUGGGUAACUUUCUUCCCAGAUUAACAUAGUGGCCAAAUGUAUAACUAGUUUGGUACCCGUUACAUCAACAAAUAGGGUUAGCCUACAAAAUUAGCAGUCUGGUGGUUUGUGUGAACAGGGUGGCCUGGGAUGGAGUCAAAUUCUCUGCCUGAAUUAUUGUUUCAGUCCGCCCCUGAAUCCCACCACCUAACAACCCCACCCACCUAACAACCCUACCCACCUAACAACCCACUCACCUAACAACCCCACCCACCUAACAACCCCACCCAACUGCCUAACAACCUACCUAACAACCCCCCACCUAUCUAACAACCCCACCCACUUACCUAACAUCCCACCUAAAACCCCACCCACCCACCUAACCCCACCCACCUACCUAACAACCACACCCACCUUCCUAACAACCCCACACACCUACCUAACAACCUACCUAACAACCCCACCCACCUACCUAACAACCCCACCCACCUUCCUAACAACCCCACACACCUACCUAACAACCCACCUAACAACCCCACCCAACCACCUAACAACCCCACCCACUUACCUAACAUCCCACCUAACAACCCCACCCACUUACCUAACAUCCCACCUAAAACCCC